UCUUCAGGAUGAACAGGACCUCGCCGGAUGCGAGAGGAAUACUUCAGGAUGAAGUGAGAUAACCCGGAUGGUAAGACGCAAGGAACCCCACAGGACGUGGUAAUGGACACCUCCAGGAUGGAGACAGGGAAGCAGUUCAGGAUGAAUUGCCAGGCCAGGAACGCCGCAGGACACGCCAACGGAUUGGAAAGGGGAUAUUCCAAAGGAUUAGGAUAACGUCAGGGAUUGCAGGGAGCAUUGCAGUUCUACGGACAGGACGACACGACUCUAGGGGACGGCUACCGCCGUCCCCUUUUCUUUUAUG
rnacentral:other from 1 species